rnacentral:pre_miRNA from 1 species
UAUGUAUUGGACCGUCGGUCUACCGAGCAAAUAUCACCCGCUCGGUGGAAGAUGUUCCCUUUGUCGU